rnacentral:rRNA from 1 species
GACGUAGGGCGCGAGCGUUGUCCGGAUUUAUUGGGCGUAAAGGGCUCGUAGGUGGCCAACUAAGUCAGACGUGAAAUCCCCGGGCUCAACCCGGGAACUGCGUCCGAUACUGGAAGGCUUGAAUCCGGGAGAGGGAUGCGGAAUUCCAGGUGUAGCGGUGAAAUGCGUAGAUAUCUGGAGGAACACCGGUGGCGAAGGCGGCAUCCUGGACCGGCAUUGACGCUGAGGCGCGAAAGCCAAGGGAGCAAACGGG